GACGCCAGUUUUGGCGGAGCCAUCCUUGGGAUACCACCCUUGUAGUACUGGGACUCUAACCAUAGGCCAUGAAUCUGGUCUUGGGACACUGUCAGGUGGGCAGCUUGACUGGGGCGGUCGCCUCCCACAAGGUAACGGAGGCGCUCAAAGGUUCUCUCAGUACGGUCGGAAAUCGUACGUAGAGUGUAAAGGCAAAAGAGAGCUUGAUUGCAAGACAUACAGGUCGAGCAA
rnacentral:rRNA from 1 species